CGGAAAAUCUAAAACUUAAAUACCGGCGCUAUAAUAAUGCCGAAGAUAAAGAAAAUCUUGAAAAGGUGCUGAAUAUGAUAAAAAAUAAAAGAAUUAGCUUUUGUCAGGCGAGUAAACAAUACGGUUUUCCAAAAGGCACAUUGUCCAAUAAGUUAAACAACCGCCACACUGGAAAAAUUGGAAAACCAUUUGUCCUUCCGGUAGAAUUGGAAAAUGCUAUUGUGCAACACGUCCUACUUGUAAGUGAAUGGGGUUUUCCAUUUGAUUAUACAGAUUUGUCUCACUUGGUACAGCAACUAAUCCUUAAGCACGGAAUAGAUGCUCCUCAACUGCCUGAAAAUAAGUUGCCCAGUAAGAAGUGGUGUCUCAGAUUUAUUAGAAGACACAAAAAUUAUCUCACUUUAAGAAUUUGUCAAAAUUUGAAAAAAUCUAAGGCAAGCAUAACACCUGGGAAAAUGACGCAAUACUUUUCCAAUUUAAAAGAAAUAGUUUUUGAAAACGGUGAGCUUUUACCUCCAAACAGGAUAUUUAAUUAUGAUGAGCCAAAUUUGUCAGAUGACUCGGGGACGAAAAAAUGUAUUUUUCCAAGAGGCAUAAAAUACCCCGAACGCAUCAGAGAUUCAUCGAAAAGUAGCAUUUCCGUAAUGUUCUGUGGAUCUGCGGAUGGACGUAUACUCCCACCGUACGUAGUAUAUAAGGCUGAAAAUUUGUGGCAAACCUGGACUGAAGGAGGACCAAAAAAUACCCGAUAUAAUUGCAGUAAGAGCGGUUGGUUUGAAGCAGUUAUUUUUGCCGAUUGGUUCCUAAAUUCAUUUAUACCUUUUCGAAAAAACAUUGAAGGGCGAGUCGUGCUCAUAGGAGAUAAUCUCUCAAGUCAUUUCUCUGAAGAGGUAAUGCGAGCAGUUUAAGAAAACAAUAUUUCAUUUUGUUGUCUUCCCAAAAAUUCUACCCACAUCACUCAGCCGCUAGAUGUUGCCUUUUAUGGGCCUUUAAAGCGAAAGUGGAGAUCCAUAUUAGAUACAUGGAAACAGUCGCUAAAAAAAAGUCGCAAGUGUUACCAAAAUAAAUAUUUCCUCGAUUAUUGAAAUCGUUAUGUGAUGCUGUUGCACCAGAUUGCAAGUCCGAUAACUUGGUAUCCGGAUUCAAGAAGUGCGGGAUUUAUCCAUGGAACCCUGAGGAAGUAUUAGGUCGGUUUCCGAGAAAGCCCAGUAAAAAUAAUGAUCCUAGUAGUUCUCAGGUGGUUUCGGAUGUCGUUUUAAAUAUGUUAAUGAACAUGAGAUACGGAGAAAAAAAUACCAAUGCCCCUGCCAGAAAAAGGUCUAAAAUAGACGUAGCUCCUGGAAAAAGUAUCGCCUUUGAAGAUCUCACCCCACAGAAUAACAUCCCAUCAACCAGCAAAGGAGCUGCCAGAAAAACUUUGGAAAACAAAAAGCAAUCUUUAAAAAAUUAUAACCGAUCGUCAGUCUCGUCAGAAGAAAGCGAUAGCAGCGAUUCUAACAAUAUUGUGUAUAUGGACUCGUCGGAAGAAGAUCUUCUUACCAUUGUCCAGAAGGACAAGAGAAACAAGAAACCUUGUGCUUAAGCAGCUCUGAAGAAAGUGCUUCUUUAGCUUCUGUUUCACCGAAGUCCCCUGGGCAGACAUCAAAGGUUUGCGCUCUAUUAGAGACUUCAACCUACAGCCCUUCUUUUCAAACAGUUUCUGAUUUUCCUGUCUACAAUUUUGUAUUGGCCGAAUUUAUAUACAACGAAGGAACAAAAAAGGAGGCAAAAAAAGUGUUCGUCUCAAAAAUCAUUUCCAAGGAUGAAAGCGGCUUUAAAGUGAGUUGUCUUCGACGAUAUGGGCAAAAACCCUCAACUUUUAUUUUCCCUCAAGUGGAAGACAUAUCUUCUAUUGAUUGUAGCUAAAUAAAAUGCACAUUAAGAAAUCCUACAGAGUUUAGGGGGCAUUUUACUUUCAAUGAAGAUUUAGGAAAUAUUUAAUAGGUCCUUUCACUUCUGAUCUCAACCUGCCCUCUGCCGAAAAAAGAAAAUUUGUUUCCUUUUAAUUAGUAUCUAACCUAGGUAAUACCUAUUUAUGCUAUUUUUUUAGGUAAUAUAUGAAUAAUUAAGAUUUAGUUGGCGUGAGUGGUAUUUACGGGUAUUUGUUAUUUUUUGUUAACAAAAAAAAAAAAUGUUAUGAUUAUGUUUAAUUAAUACCUAAUCUUUUGUAUCUUUAGAUAAUAUCUAACCUAUGCACCUUUUAUUUGUUCAUUUGCGUUUUAUUAAACAAUUCGUUUAUUUGUUUAUUUCAAUAAAUAUCUAUUAAUAAUUU